AAAUAAAAAUAAAUACGAGAAAUACACAUAUUUUUCCCGCAUUUUUUUUUGACGAGAAAUAGAUUUACAAGGGAUUUUUAAAGGGUUUUAUAAGAUUUACAAGAGAUUUUAAAAGGGUUUUAAAAUAUUUACGAGAGAUUUUAAAAAGGUUUUAAAAGAUUUACAAGGGAUUUUAAAAUGGUUUUAAAAGAUUUACAAGGAAUUUUAAAGGACUUUAAAAGAUUUACAAAGGUUUUUUAAAGAUUUUUAAAGUGUUUAAAAUUGUUUUAAAAGGGUAUUAAAAUAUUUAUAAGGAAUUUUAAAGGACUUUAAAAGAUUUACAAAGU
rnacentral:sRNA from 1 species